GUUUUAUAAAUGAAGGAAGCAUAACACUGUUAAUUUUGGCAUGAAUGGGCCGGUUAAAAUCAUGUGAAUGUUUCUGGUCUAUGUUUGGUGGGCUUCGCAUUGACCCGUUAGUCAGUAGGGCAACCACUGUCUUCAUCUCCUUCCAAAUCCGUCGUCCUAUGGCGAUUCCUCUGCCGGCUUAGCAUAGUAGUCUAAACUCCGUUACUCGGAUCUUUAUGAUUCUACGCACGUAUUCCAAGGACGUUGCGAUUCCUCUUCCUGUAACGGAUUUCUCCAGCCUCCUCUAUAUAGGGUUCUUCGAAGCUGCUCAGCAUACUCUAUACUGGGAAGUUAAGAGACACUGGGAAAUUAUUUGAAUCAAACUUGGAAGGAUCUCCAUUAAAAUUUCGCUUAGGUGGAGAAAAGUCAUAAAAGGUCUCAGCAAUGGUGUUGAAGGGAUGCGAGUUGGUGAUAAGAGAAGACUCAUAAUUCCACCAUCUCUUGGAUACUCAGAGGAAGGAUUGAAGAAGGAAAAUGUGCCUAAGAACUCGUGGCUUGUCUAUGAAGUAGAGGCAGUAAAAGUGAGAUGAUGCCAUUGGCUCUUUAUGACCUUUUGAAACAAACAAGCUUUAAGCUUCUGCCCUGAGUCAUCUAUCUGUCUCCUUUACACGAAUCAAACUGGGCCAAUUUUUAGAGAAAUUUAAAACCCCCUAAAAUUCAAGUUAAUUAGGGGAAACAAACAAUAA